UACGGGAGGCAGCAGUGGGGAAUAUUGCACAAUGGGCGCAAGCCUGAUGCAGCCAUGCCGCGUGUAUGAAGAAGGCCUUCGGGUUGUAAAGUACUUUCAGUCGUGAGGAAGGUGUUAAGGUUAAUAACCUUAGCAAUUGACGUUAGCGACAGAAGAAGCACCGGCUAACUCCGUGCCAGCAGCCGCGGUAAUACGGAGGGUGCGAGCGUUAAUCGGAAUUACUGGGCGUAAAGGGCACGCAGGCGGUUAAUUAAGUUGGAUGUGAAAUCCCCGGGCUUAACCUGGGAAUGGCAUUCAAGACUGGUUAGCUAGAGUCUUGUAGAGGGGGUAGAAUUCCAUGUGUAGCGGUGAAAUGCGUAGAGAUGUGGAGGAAUACCGGUGGCGAAGGCGGCCCCUGGACAAAGACUGACGCUCAUGUGCGAAAGCGUGGGGAGCGAAACAGGGAUUUAGAUACC
rnacentral:rRNA from 1 species